GUAUGCUCGUCGGUGCCCAAAAUCUGUCUGUGGAACAGGAGGUCGGUGGUUCGAGCCCACCCAACUGUACCA
rnacentral:tRNA from 1 species